rnacentral:ncRNA from 1 species
CGGCACGACGUAAAGGCUCAAAGACCGGGGAAAGGACCUAUCCCAACCCCUCCGACCUCCCCGUCACCCACGCCACCCACACGGGUGACUUGGGCCAACUCAGCUGGAUUUGAGGAGGGUUGAGCGGCAUAUGCUCGCCGCGACACGUGCACCACCGCACACAUGCUUCGGCCCCCGGCCGGGACGGCAAUCCCGAACGAGGGCCUAACCAAGAAGGAAGCCGAAACCUUCCCU